CUCCUUUUCGCAGCAAUCGCUUUUUUUGUCUGCGCCCACUAGCGCGUGCAUCCAGCUUAAAAUGGAUUCGUAUUUGUACGGUGACUCCUCCGGACUAUGAAGCACUUGCAUUUUGGGCGCCUCGAUGGUUAUGGUACAAGGGUCAGUUCUUUUCAUCUCAUGACUCUCCACAAUCUUGAUUUUAGGAAGCUGUCCACAGAAUCGUCUGCACAAUUCUUUUCUGUGAUUCCAGUCUGUGAUUAUUGUAUGAGUUGUGUGUUGAAAUGUUUGUAACGUUUCUAAAUUGAAUUGAGUGAUGAAUUGCUAACACUUGUUUAUUUCUGACUGUUUCAUGUCUAAUAUGAACACGAAAGCGAGUUGCAAAUCUCAUAAAGUAUUUAAUAUUACAAUAUAAAAGCGAGUUGUGGAUAUCAUAAAGUGCUUAAUAUUACAAUUUAAAACUGAGUUGGAAAUUGGAAAUAUCAUAGGCCAGUGGUGGGAUUGUUGUUGUGUCGCCUCGCUGGCCUGGGUUCGAGCCCUCUUCAGAUCGAAUUCAGCGUCUCAUAUUUAUCUCUUAAUAUAAUAUAAUAAUACCACCUGGGUUCGACCCCUCUUCAGGUCAAAUUCAGCGUCUCACAUUUCUCUUUUAAUAUAAUACAAUGCCGCGGGGCUCCUCCCCCGCUGGUCUAGUUUUUA